GACGAACGCUGGCGGCGUGCCUAAUACAUGCAAGUCGAGCGAAGUUUUUCUGGUGCUUGCACCGGAAAAACUUAGCGGCGAACGGGUGAGUAACACGUAAAGAACCUGCCUUAUAGACUGGGACAACUAUUGGAAACGAUAGCUAAUACCGGAUAACAGCAUUAACUGCAUGGUUGAUGUUUGAAAGUUGGUUUUGCUAACACUAUGAGAUGGCUUUGCGGUGCAUUAGCUAGUUGGUGGGGUAAAGGCCUACCAAGGCGACGAUGCAUAGCCGACCUGAGAGGGUGAUCGGCCACACUGGGACUGAGACACGGCCCAGACUCCUACGGGAGGCAGCAGUAGGGAAUCUUCCGCAAUGGGCGAAAGCCUGACGGAGCAACGCCGCGUGAGUGAAGAAGGAUUUCGGUUCGUAAAGCUCUGUUGUUAGGGAAGAAUGAUUGUGUAGUAACUAUACACAGUAGAGACGGUACCUAACCAGAAAGCCACGGCUAACUACGUGCCAGCAGCCGCGGUAAUACGUAGGUGGCAAGCGUUGUCCGGAAUUAUUGGGCGUAAAGCGCGCGCAGGUGGUUUAAUAAGUCUGAUGUGAAAGCCCACGGCUCAACCGUGGAGGGUCAUUGGAAACUGUUAAACUUGAGUGCAGGAGAGAAAAGGGGAAUUCCUAGUGUAGCGGUGAAAUGCGUAGAGAUUAGGAGGAACACCAGUGGCGAAGGCGGCUUUUUGGCCUGUAACUGACACUGAGGCGCGAAAGCGUGGGGAGCAAACAGG
rnacentral:rRNA from 1 species